ACUGGUAGGGCCUAAAUACUUUAAAUGCACCAGAUCCAGUCUGAUCUUGAAAGUGAAGCAGGGUUACCCCCAUUAGUACUUGGAUGGGGACUGCCAAUGAAUACCAGGUACUGCGGGUU
rnacentral:rRNA from 11 species